rfam:Rozella allomycis CSF55 unplaced genomic scaffold scaffold_3895, whole genome shotgun sequence.
GGGUAAGUAGCUCAGUGGCAGAGCUUUCGACUGCAGAUCGAAUGGUCGCUGGUUCAAUUCCGGCCGUGCCCU